rnacentral:pre_miRNA from 1 species
AGAGGAAUAGCUGGGUCAAAUGGUGGUUCCAUUCCCAGAUUUCCAAGGAAUCUCCAGAGUGGUUGCACCAAUUUGCAGUCCCACCAGCAAU